rnacentral:rRNA from 1 species
UACGUAGGGCGCAAGCGUUGUCCGGAAUUAUUGGGCGUAAAGAGCUCGUAGGCGGCUUGUCGCGUCGACUGUGAAAACCCGCGGCUCAACCGCGGGCCUGCAGCCGAUACGGGCAGGCUAGAGUUCGGUAGGGGAGACUGGAAUUCCCGGUGUAGCGGUGAAAUGCGCAGAUAUCAAGCGGAACACCAGUGGCGAAGGCGGCAUCCUGGACUGGUCCUGACACUCAUGAGCGAAAGCGUGGGGAGCGAUCCGG